GAUGAACGCUGGCGGCGUGCCUAAUACAUGCAAGUCGAGCGAACAGACGAGGAGCUUGCUCCUCUGACGUUAGCGGCGGACAGGUGAGUAACACGUGGAUAACCUACCUAUAAGACUGGGAUAACUUCGGGAAACCGGAGCUAAUACCGGAUAAUAUAUUGAACCGCAUGGUUCAAUAGUGAAAGACGGUUUUGCUGUCACUUAUAGAUGGAUCCGCGCCGCAUUAGCUAGUUGGUAAGGUAACGGCUUACCAAGGCGACGAUGCGUAGCCGACCUGAGAGGGUGAUCGCCCACACUGGAACUGAGACACGGUCCAGACUCCUACGGGAGGCAGCAGUAGGGAAUCUUCCGCAAUGGGCGAAAGCCUGACGGAGCAACGCCGCGUGAGUGAUGAAGGUCUUCGGAUCGUAAAACUCUGUUAUUAGGGAAGAACAAAUGUGUAAGUAACUAUGCACGUCUUGACGGUACCUAAUCAGAAAGCAACGGCUAACUACGUG
rnacentral:rRNA from 1 species